rnacentral:ncRNA from 1 species
CUUAAAGCGUUGAAAAGAAGAAGUACCAUCUGAAAGAACGGUAGAGAGAGCUUGUUUGGUGAAAAAGCUUGUUUGGAAAGAUCGGAAAUACACCUUGGAGCUGUUUGUCUCAAAAGGCAGACCGUGACCUUGCGUUAAAGGGGAUAGAGGGCAUAGGGAAGUCUAUGAACUAAGGUGGUACCGCGCAAAGAGCGUCCUUAGA